GAAAGACCUCCAGAGAAGCCACACUCUUGGGGUGUGUGCCUCCCUGGACUCCACCGUGACCCAGUGUAACACGGCACGUGACUUCCUGGACUGCUACACGGAGGCGAGGACAGCGCACCCCAGGUCCUGGAGGAGAGCGCUGCUGCGGUUUAAACCUGUGGAGAAUUUUUGAGUUCAUUUGAGCCAAACCGGUGACAAUCGAAAGGAAGCAAAAUCUCAACAGAUUGAGAAAAUGCUCCAGAAAAUGGACGGCGCUCCACCACUGAGGUGGACGAAAGGGCUACACUCUCCCGAGGCCAGCGUCGUUACCCAGCGUUCUUAUGCUACGCCCACCUCUCGGUUCCGGAGCGCGCAAUCUUCUUUCUCCAGCGACAUUUCCGAGUGGGCAGUGGCGACUCCGGCUGGUUUUCCCAGAGGACCUGGUCGGACUGGAGGGAGGGGACAGAGCCACCUUGUGGCGAGAGAGGGAACCUGCAACAUGGAUGCCGACUAUGCCCCUUGUUACUUUCCCUUUGCCUAUAAUGGCAAACUGUGUGACAGUUGCACAGUCCAUGGGAGUAUUUUGGGGAUAGCGUGGUGCUCACUCACUGAAAACUUUAACAAGGAUGGAGCUCAGAAGAGUUGCUUCUGAUACAGGUGACCCCACCCUCAGCCGUGGAUUCAGACCAGACUGUGAAACCCAAGUGUGGAAGAUCAAGAAAUCUCAAGCUUGAAGGCCACGCCCCAAGGGCCAGAGGUGAUGAAAUCCUUUCCCUGCAGCUCUGAGUGCUCCCUGCCCAUCAACAAACCGCUGUCUCUACAGGCGUGACUUUGUUAUCCUGUCUUAAAGAAUAAACCAUCUUUCAAAUGGGA